UUCAAAUUGAGAAGGGUACAAACAUAUCAGCGAUCAUAAGAACAAAGGCAAUUGUUGGAAAGGCAAUAUCCCAAUACAUAAAGACGAUGUGAACCAUACACAUUUUCACAUUGACUUUGACAAUUUGCAGGAAUGCAACCACCUGUAGAUAACCAUACUUCGACUCUAAAAGGAGCCCGAACUCUUUUUGGACCUGCUUCACUUGUGAUGAAAAUACCUGAAAUUUCAAAAACAAAGUUACUAUAGGCAACAAUUAUAAUUUUAGGCAUGCUAACUCUAAUCAAAUUUUAAUUUAAUAUGUGGCAAAAGUUUUCAUUUUAUAAAACAAUGUACUUUUAUUAUGUGAUAUAAAAACCGAAGUGUCCCAUCAAUUAUACAAGUAGCAUUGGUGAUUAAAUGAUGAUAAGUUUUGCCAAUAAUACAUAGAUAAAUAUCUAGAAUAAACCUGCAAGCAAAAGGAAAAGGGCAAAAAUAUGCAUUAUAGUAAGCUUAGCCAUCUCCAACAAACACAACACAACGUCAAUAAAAAUGGUUUAAUU
rnacentral:lncRNA from 1 species